UAAAGAUUUUACAUUUGUAUGUAUCUGACAAACUAUAUAUGGCACUCAACACAAGCUUGUAUCAGUUAUCAAUUUAGAUUUUUUGAGGAAAAGAUAAAUUUUCAAUUAAAAUAAAAAAUUCACUAUUUAAAAUACUGCUAAAUUAAUUCCCCACUUCAAAAUAGCCUUCCAGAAACACUUUUAAAUGAAGAAUUACAAAGCCAUAGCACAUUCCAUC
rnacentral:lncRNA from 1 species